GUCAACAAAAUUGGGCCGAAGCAAAUUAAUUGUCACAAGGAGUUGUGCGCUGCGCUGAGCUGUUCGUUCUUAAAGGUUUCACUUUGGCCACAAAAUUUAGCAGCAGCAAAUUCAUUGCUCCAAGGAGUUGUGCGCUGUAAGGAGCUGUUCGUUCUUAAAGGAUUCACUGUACUUGCAUUCAAUACUGGCAAUGGCAUGUUGAUACGCAACGCUCUAGCAUUUUACUUUGCUUUUUGUGCUUAAUGGUUUUGUGCCAUGACAUACGUGGCUGGAUAUUAAAAUGGGUGCCCCUCCUCUGCCCCUCCGCCUUCCUAGAGGUAGGACGAGAGCC